rnacentral:rRNA from 1 species
CCUACGGGAGGCAGCAGUGAGGAAUAUUGGUCAAUGGGCGCGAGCCUGAACCAGCCAAGUAGCGUGAAGGAUGACUGCCCUACGGGUUGUAAACUUCUUUUAUCAGGGAAUAAAAUGAGGCACGUGUGCCUUUCUGUGGGUACUUUAUGAAUAAGGAUCGGCUAACUCCGUGCCAGCAGCCGCGGUAAUACGGAGGAUCCGAGCGUUAUCCGGAUUUAUUGGGUUUAAAGGGAGCGUAGAUGGGUGUUUAAGUCAGUUGUGAAAGUUUGCGGCUCAACCGUAAAAUUGCAAUUGAUACUGGCAGCCUUGAGUACAGUUGAGGUAGGCGGAAUUCGUGGUGUAGCGGUGAAAUGCUUAGAUAUCACGAAGAACUCCGAUUGCGAAGGCAGCUUACUAAACUGCCACUGACAUUGAUGCUCGAAAGUGUGGGUAUCAAACAGGAUUAGAUACCCCGGUAGUC